AUGAAUGACGGAGACCUGGCAAAGUACAUCCCUAAAGCUGGAGAUAGAAUAGCUACUGUGGCCUUCUGUCGGAAAGCAAAUGCAUCACUAAACACAAAGAGCAGGAAAGAGUCUAUACUGACAAGGCUACGUCAGAGACUAUCUGGAGAAGCACCUGUAGAAGCACCUGUACCUGUGAAAAAAAAGCCAUUGGCAGGAAAUGCAAAUGCCAAAAAAAAGGAUAGACGGGUUGAACUUGGAUGGAUGGACUUUAAUGAAAAAGACAAACGGUACAAACAAGUAAAGGCAAUCAAUGGGGGAGGAACGAGACAUCUGACAAUCGACAAGGAUAAAACAGUAGUAGAAAUAAAAAAACUAGCUGAAGACCUGUUUUUUCCAAAUGGUUUUUCAAAAAAAAAGAAAAGGCUCUCACAUUAUUCAACUGAAAUUGAAUCGUCUCAGGUAUACGUCAACAGUUGGAGCACUGUAGAUAACUUGUAUGAAGAAAGCAAAGUAAAAAUUCUUAGACUGUAUCUUUAUACCAAAAGAGUAAAUGUGGAGUUGUCCUCUGAGGAAGAGGAAGCAGAGAUGCAUUUAACUUCAACCCCAACUGUUGAUCUCACAGGACAUGAGUCACAUGCUUCAACUGAGGUACAAGAUAUGGAUGACAUAGUUCACCAAGAGAUCGACCUCGAGAUUAUAAUUGGGCCUGUGGCAACUGAAGAUGUGCAGUUGGAUGACACUGUGCCAUGGAAUGACCAACCACCACAGAGAGAUGACACUGUGUCAUGGAAUGACCUGCCACCACAGAGCCCAGGCGAACCUCAACCAGCUCCUUCAACUGAACAGCCACCACAGGGAUUUGGCGGCCUUGUUGCAGAGCCAUGGAAUGACCAGACACUGGGUGAACGUGCUUCGGUUACACUGAUUAUUAGGCGGGGGCAUUGUCUCACUGAUCUAAUCAAAGCCUUCACAAACCCAGAUAUUUUAAACACUGAUGUGUUUAUUAAGAUGCGCCUACCUAAUGGAAAACUUGAAGAAGGAGAGGGAAGUGGAGUGACCCGGGACUGCUUCACAGAGUUUUGGACAGACUUUUAUGAAAGGUGCACCAUGGGAGGGGAUGUGAAAGUACCCUUUAUUAGGCAUGAUUAUCAGUGUGAAGAGUGGCAGGCUAUCGCUAGAAUCUUAGUAGUAGGGUGGAAGAUUGCUCGCUAUUUCCCAGUGAAACUGGCGACACCAUUCCUUGAAGAGGUACUGUACUCCACAACCUUCAGCAGCUUAAAGGACACCUUCUUGCAGUAUGUGUCUGAACAGGAGAGAGAGGUCCUUCAAAAGGCUUUGGAGGACUUUGACUCUGUUGACAGUGAUUCACUAUUUGAUGCUCUUGAGCCACACGAGUGCCAGCAGGUUCCUACAAAGGACAAUCUGAUCCCACUGCUCUCACAGAUGGGACACAAAUCUCUCAUACAGGCACCAAUGUAUGUAAUCGAGUGUUGGCGUCCUAUCGUGGUGCACUUAGCAAGUGUGUUGCCACCAGAUGCUCUGCAUCAUGUCAUAGAUCAGAAGACCCCAACUGGGAAAGCUGUAAAGGACCUCCUGCAGUUUCCAGAUGUGAUGUCUGCACCCGAAAAAGCAGUUGCCCGCUACCUGAAGAGAUAUGUAGGUGAAGUUGAUCUGAGAACCCUCCAGCUUUUCCUCCGCUUCUGCACUGGUUCAAAUUUGAUGGAAAAACCAAUUAAGAUAGAGUUCAUUGAAACCUCAGACUUCGAGCGAAGACCACAAUCACAUACAUGUGGCUGCCUUUUAAAGCUACCUGUAGGAUACAACAAUUAUCCAGACCUCCGUAGUGAUUUCAAUACUAUCCUCACAAGCUCAGUAUGGGUAAUGGAUAUCAUCUAG
rnacentral:lncRNA from 1 species